AUUUGUACGGCAUCGCACAAGUAUAAGAUACAACCACACUAUACACAUAUUCACAUACAAUCGCCACAUCACAUUCAUUCCAUCACAAGUUUAUUAUAAGUUCACAUCUAUUAGUUUAAAACGUUUCCUACUCGAAAACUUAUUUUGAAAUACUAAUAAUUAUGAAAAUCAGAAAAACUCUUUUUAAAACUGUUUCCCACACGGAAACCCUUUUCUUUAAAAAUAUGAUACCACGAGGGGUAGAAAAUCGUUUUCAUCUCAUAAGGAAACCAUAGUACUUUAUUCAUUUCACAAAACCACAUUUAUCCAUAUAACUGAAAACCAACUGAACCAUAAUUGCUAAUUCAAUUAUUAAAAA
rnacentral:lncRNA from 1 species